rnacentral:pre_miRNA from 1 species
GUGGAUAUUCCUUCUAUGUUUAUGGUAUUUAUGAUUAAACAUAGAGGAAAUUUCACGU